CGGCGUCUUUCUCCCCCGGGUUCCAUGCAGUGGGGGCGGGUCGGAGCGGGUCGCCGGUGACGCUAUGACGCACGCCGGAGGAGGGGCGGGGGAAAAAAGGGACGGAUGGAACUUCCCACUGGAUAAGACCCCUAAAAAAUUUCAAAUGGAGUUGCGGCCCACUUUUGAAAUCCUGGACAUAGACUGCAGACACCAGGUUGAAAACCACUGUUACAUGGGAACAACUUUUUGCGAACCUCUUAGACAAAGUCUGUAGACCCUCAGGCCUCCACAGACCACAGCUUGAAAAACACUGGUGUACAGAACUUAUGCUUCCAAUUUCCAGUGUGCUAUGGCAGGACUUUUAUUGUGAUAGUGGGCCUCCUUAUUCUAAUUACUUUUUUUGAGUAGGGAGAAUAAUUUUCAAGUACAUGGACUUUUUUGUUCAUGCCCUUGGCUGGUCUCACCCGUAGAUGUUAAGUCCCCGAGGGGAGAAUCCACCCUUGUAUCAAUACGUUAGUAGACUUGCUCAUACUCAGUGAGCUCUCGUCCUUUGCUCCACCAGUCAACAUAAUUUCCAUGAGCAUGGCUGCCAUUUAGGGUGAUCAGGCUGGGUGGAAUCACACAGUUGGCAUUCUGUGGUUACUAAAGAAGAGGUGGUACUCUGUCAGCACAGUAUGCAGUGGAUACCACUGCUUCAUGGUCCAAAAGGCCCGUGAGGGUUCUGUGAGUAAGCAACUGUGGAGGCAAUUUUCUGCUGGCUCAGGUCCAAAAUGAAUGAAACUUCAUUCUGGUUACUUAUAAAGGGAAACUGAGUAUCUAUGUUUACGCCAGUAUUGUUUUGCAUGUGGAACUCCUAUUAAAGUCAGUGGGAGGUUGGGGUGUGAAUUAUGCAAAAUCUAAUUGAAUCUCAGGCCAAAUGCCAUCCAGUUCUUUCUACAAGUCUGAAAUAAAAACUCUGAUCAAGUG